AGCUGCGUGGCUCAGUGGAAAGAGCCCGGGCUUGGGAGUCGGAGGUCAGGGGUUCUAAUCCCCACUCCGCCC
rfam:Ornithorhynchus anatinus chromosome 7, whole genome shotgun sequence.